UACGUAGGUGGCAAGCGUUGUCCGGAUUUACUGGGCGUAAAGAGCGCGCAGGCGGUCGAGUAAGUCGAAUGUGAAAGCCCCCCGGCUUAACUGGGGAGGGUCAUUCGAUACUGUUCGACUUGAAGGCAGGAGAGGGCAGCAGAAUUCCCGGUGUAGUGGUGAAAUGCGUAGAGAUUGGGUGGAACACCGGUGGCGAAGGCGGCUAUCUGGCUCACAACUGACGAUCAGGCACGAAAGCGUGGGGAGCAAACAGG
rnacentral:rRNA from 1 species